GAGGUUGCGAUGUCGCGGAGGGGCAUGCCCACCGCGAGCUUGGCUCCGAGAUCGCGGUAAAAGGGAUCCUCCGACGCGAGUUGCGCCGGGGUGACGGCGGAGAGGACCGAGCCGUCGCGGUGGAGGAUGUUCCUGAGGUCGAUGGCGUCGUCCUCCUUCUGGACCGGGAGAUCGGACGCGCGACGCGCGAAAUCCUUAAAGUCGCGACCCUUCUCCUCGAACUUGUCGACGCCCCACUUCUCUUGGGCGGCUUUGUGGCCGACGUCCCUGAGGCGGGUGCAAGGCUCCAUCUCGAGGUGCGAAGCUUCGGUGAGGGAGACGCGGAUGGUGUCGCCGAGGCCGUCGAGGAGCAGGGCGCCGAUGCCGAUGGAGGACUUCAUGCGUCCGUCCUCGCCCUCGCCAGCCUCGGUCACGCCCAGGUGAAGCGGGUAGUCCCAGCCGAGCUUGUACAUCUCGUGCGCGAGGAGUCGGUACGCCUGCACCAUCACCAGCGGGUUGGACGCCUUCAUGGAGAAGACAAAGUUGUGGUAGUCGUGCUUGCGGCAGAUGCGGGCAAACUCGAACGCGGACUCGAC
rnacentral:lncRNA from 1 species